GAGGUGCGGGUGCUAUACAUGCAGUCGAGCGGACAGAAGGGAGCUUGCUCCCGGAUGUUAGCGGCGGACGGGUGAGUAACACGUGGGUAACCUGCCUGUAAGACUGGGAUAACUCCGGGAAACCGGAGCUAAUACCGGAUAGUUCCUUGAACCGCAUGGUUCAAGGAUGAAAGACGGUUUCGGCUGUCACUUACAGAUGGACCCGCGGCGCAUUAGCUAGUUGGUGGGGUAAUGGCUCACCAAGGCGACGAUGCGUAGCCGACCUGAGAGGGUGAUCGGCCACACUGGGACUGAGACACGGCCCAGACUCCUACGGGAGGCAGCAGUAGGGAAUCUUCCGCAAUGGACGAAAGUCUGACGGAGCAACGCCGCGUGAGUGAUGAAGGUUUUCGGAUCGUAAAGCUCUGUUGUUAGGGAAGAACAAGUGCGAGAGUAACUGCUCGCACCUUGACGGUACCUAACCAGAAAGCCACGGCUAACUACGUGCCAGCAGCCGCGGUAAUACGUAGGUGGCAAGCGUUGUCCGGAAUUAUUGGGCGUAAAGGGCUCGCAGGCGGUUUCUUAAGUCUGAUGUGAAAGCCCCCGGCUCAACCGGGGAGGGUCAUUGGAAACUGGGAAACUUGAGUGCAGAAGAGGAGAGUGGAAUUCCACGUGUAGCGGUGAAAUGCGUAGAGAUGUGGAGGAACACCAGUGGCGAAGGCGACUCUCUGGUCUGUAACUGACGCUGAGGAGCGAAAGCGUGGGGAGCGAACAGGAUUAGAUACCCUGGUAGUCCACGCCGUAAACGAUGAGUGCUAAGUGUUAGGGGGUUUCCGCCCCUUAGUGCUGCAGCUAACGCAUUAAGCACUCCGCCUGGGGAGUACGGUCGCAAGACUGAAACUCACAGGAAUUGACGGGGGCCCGCACAAGCGGUGGAGCAUGUGGUUUAAUUCGAAGCAACGCGAAGAACCUUACCAGGUCUUGACAUCCUCUGACAACCCUAGAGAUAGGGCUUUCCCUUCGGGGACAGAGUGACAGGUGGUGCAUGGUUGUCGUCAGCUCGUGUCGUGAA
rnacentral:rRNA from 1 species